rnacentral:rRNA from 1 species
UACAGAGGUCCCGAGCGUUGUUCGGAUUUAUUGGGCGUAAAGGGUGCGUAGGCGGCGGAGUAAGUCGGGUGUGAAAUCUCGGGGCUUAACUCCGAAACUGCAUUCGAUACUGCCGUGCUUGAGGACUGGAGAGGAGACUGGAAUUUACGGUGUAGCGGUGAAAUGCGUAGAUAUCGUAAGGAAGACCAGUGGCGAAGGCGGGUCUCUGGACAGUUCCUGACGCUGAGGCACGAAGGCCAGGGGAGCAAACGGG